rnacentral:rRNA from 1 species
UACGAAGGGGGCUAGCGUUGCUCGGAUUUACUGGGCGUAAAGGGCGCGUAGGCGGCAUGUUAAGUCAGCUGUGAAAUCUCCGAGCUUAACUCGGAACUGUCAGCUGAUACUGAUGUGCUAGAGUGCAGAAGGGGCAAUCGGAAUUCUUGGUGUAGCGGUGAAAUGCGUAGAUAUCAAGAGGAACACCUGAGGUGAAGACGGGUUGCUGGGCUGACACUGACGCUGAGGCGCGAAAGCCAGGGGAGCAAACGGG